AUGGUAGUACUGAGCGCGACGACGAUCGGAGCCCUAUUGGGUUUGGGUACGCAGAUGUACUCCAACGCUCUCCGCAAACUCCCCUACAUGCGCCAUCCGUGGGAGCACGUAUUGGGAAUGGGUUUGGGCGUUGUGUUCGUGAACCAGCUUGUGAAAUGGGAGGCUCAGGUUGAACAAGAUCUCGAUAAGAUGCUUGAGAAAGCUAAGGCCGCUAAUGAAAGACGCUACAUUGAUGGAGAUGACGAUUAG